UUUAAAAUCGGUUAUUAAAUAACCGAUUUUGUAUACUACAUACAAAAUCAGUUCUUUAAGAACCGAUUUUAAA
rnacentral:miRNA from 1 species